ensembl:snRNA U6 U6 spliceosomal RNA
UUGCUUUGGCAGCACAUAUACUAAAAUUAGAACACUACAAAGAAGAUUAGCUUAGCUCCUGUGCAAGGAUGACAUGCAAAGUCUUGAAGCAUUCCAUAUUUUU